rnacentral:rRNA from 1 species
UUGGAGGGCAAGUCUGGUGCCAGCAGCCGCGGUAAUUCCAGCUCCAAUAGCGUAUAUUAAAGUUGUUGCAGUUAAAAAGCUCGUAGUUGAACUUCGGGGUCUACCCAUUGGUCAGGCUUAAUUGUCUGUACUGGUGAGAUGGAUCUCUACCUUCUGAGGAACUUUCAUGCCAUUUAUUUGGUGUGAUAGGAAAUCAGGACUGUUACUUUGAAAAAAUUAGAGUGUUUAAAGCAGACUAUCGUCUGAAUACAUUAGCAUGGAAUAAUGAAAUAGGACGGACUGAUUCUAUUUCGUUGGUUUCUAGGAUCACCGUAAUGAUUAAUAGGGAUAGUUGGGGGCAUUAGUAUUCAAUUGUCAGAGGUGAAAUUCUUGGAUUUAUUGAAGACUAACUACUGCGAAAGCAUUUGCCAAGGAUGUUUUCAUUAAUCAAGAACGAAAGUUAGGGGAUCGAAGACGAUCAGAUACCGUCGUAGUCUUAACCAUAAACUAUGCCGACUAGGGAUCGGACGAAGUUAUUAAAAAUGACGCGUUCGGCGCCUUACGGGAAAC